UACAGAGGUCCCAAGCGUUGUUCGGAUUUACUGGGCGUAAAGGGUGCGUAGGCGGUCGUGCAAGUCGGAUGUGAAAUCUCAGGGCUCGACCCUGAAACUGCAUUCGAUACUGCGUGGCUAGAGUGCUGGAGAGGAGACUGGAAUUUACGGUGUAGCAGUGAAAUGCGUAGAUAUCGUAAGGAAGACCAGUGGCGAAGGCGAGUCUCUGGACAGCAACUGACGCUGAGGCACGAAGGCCAGGGGAGCAAACGGG
rnacentral:rRNA from 1 species